rnacentral:rRNA from 1 species
UACGUAGGCAGCAAGCGUUGUUCGGAGUUACUGGGCGUAAAGGGUGCGUAGGCGGCUUUUUAAGUUUGGUGUGAAAUCUCCCGGCUCAACUGGGAGGGUGCGCCGAAUACUGAGAGGCUAGAGUGUGGGAGAGGAAAGUGGAAUUCCUGGUGUAGCGGUGAAAUGCGUAGAUAUCAGGAGGAACACCGGUGGUGAAGACGGCUUUCUGGACCAUAACUGACGCUGAGGCACGAAAGCGUGGGUAGCAAACAGG